GGAAAUCAGCUACCUUGCUGUGAGAAAGCCCCAACCAACUCCCACAGAGAGCCCACAUGGAGAAGCCACGUGGAGAGAACUGAGCUCCCCUGCUGAUGGCCAGAAUCAACUGCCAGACACGAGAAUCUGGCCUGGAUGCCUAUUGGAUGUUCCGCUUUUAUCACCAUGAAGAACUGACUCAAGCACAAGCACUGGAAGGGAGCAGCUGGAACCAUCCUACCCUCCUCCAUCCCACUUCUGUCCCACUUUGAAACCUGGAGUCACUUUAAUAAUUCCCUCAGUGUCCCCCUGGAGAGGAA